rnacentral:rRNA from 1 species
AGAGUUUGAUCCUGGCUCAGAUUGAACGCUGGCGGCAUGCCUUACACAUGCAAGUCGAACGGCAGCACGGGAGCAAUCCUGGUGGCGAGUGGCGAACGGGUGAGUAAAGCAUCGGAACGUGCCCAGUAGUGGGGGAUAGCCCGGCGAAAGCCGGAUUAAUACCGCAUACGACCUAAGGGUGAAAGCGGGGGAUCGCAAGACCUCGCGCUAUUGGAGCGGCCGAUGUCAGAUUAGGUAGUUGGUGGGGUAAAGGCCUACCAAGCCGACGAUCUGUAGCUGGUCUGAGAGGACGACCAGCCACACUGGGACUGAGACACGGCCCAGACUCCUACGGGAGGCAGCAGUGGGGAAUUUUGGACAAUGGGCGCAAGCCUGAUCCAGCCAUGCCGCGUGCAGGAAGAAGGCCUUCGGGUUGUAAACUGC